rnacentral:tmRNA from 1 species
GGGGCUGAUUUCUGGAUUCGACGGGAUUUGCGAAACCCAAGGUGCAUGCCGAGGGGCGGUUGGCCUCGUAAAAAGCCGCAAAAAAAUAGUCGCAAACGACGAAAACUACGCUUUAGCAGCUUAAUAACCUGCUUAGAGCCCUCUCUCCCUAGCCUCCGCUCUUAGGACGGGGAUCAAGAGAGGUCAAACCCAAAAGAGAUCGCGCGGAUGCCCUGCCUGGGGUUGAAGCGUUAAAACGAAUCAGGCUAGUCUGGUAGUGGCGUGUCCGUCCGCAGGUGCCAGGCGAAUGUAAAGACUGACUAAGCAUGUAGUACCGAGGAUGUAGGAAUUUCGGACGCGGGUUCAACUCCCGCCAGCUCCACCA